rnacentral:rRNA from 1 species
CAGUAGCCGCGGUAAUACGUAUGUCGCAAGCGUUAUCCGGAAUUAUUGGGCAUAAAGGGCAUCUAGGCGGCCCUGUAAGUCUAGGGUGAAAACCUGCGGCUCAACCGCAGGCCUGCCCCGGAAACUACAGGGCUAGAGUAUCGGAGAGGUGGACGGAACUGCACGAGUAGAGGUGAAAUUCGUAGAUAUGUGCAGGAAUGCCGAUGAUGAAGAUAGUUCACUGGACGGUAACUGACGCUGAAGUGCGAAAGCUAGGGGAGCAAACAGGAUUAGAGACCCGCGUAGUCCCUGUCUCUUAUAC